rnacentral:rRNA from 1 species
UACGAAGGGGGCUAGCGUUGCUCGGAUUUACUGGGCGUAAAGGGCGCGUAGGCGGACAUUUAAGUCAGGGGUGAAAUCCCGGGGCUCAACCUCGGAACUACCUUUGAUACUGGGUGUCUUGAGUAUGAGAGAGGUAUGUGGAACUCCGAGUGUAGAGGUGAAAUUCGUAGAUAUUCGGAAGAACACCAGUGGCGAAGGCGACAUACUGGCUCAUUACUGACGCUGAGGCGCGAAAGCGUGGGGAGCAAACAGG